UGUCAUUUAUCGGGAAAAUCUGCUACAUAAAAUAAUCAAAAUAAACUUAAGAGGAGGGUUCUAGUCCUAUAAGUCAUUAUGAGAAAUUUAUGAGAAUAUAUAAAACAAUUAUUUCAUCAAAAGAAAUGUAUUCUAAUUAGUACUUUCCUGCUCAUUUAUGUUAGGCCCACCAAAGUGGGAGGAAAAGUAAAGGUUUUUAGCUAAUUAAAUUUAAAUCUGCCCCUAACCAAACAAAUCCAAGUUCCCUGAAUCACCUAUCUAAAUUCACUAAAACUAAUUCCUUGAGUAUUAAAAUGGAAUUCAUGCCACCUAUCUCAGGGUUCUUGAGAAAUGAAAUUUAAGUAUGUAUAAAGCAUCUAGUCCCCUUAGACAAGUAAA